rnacentral:rRNA from 1 species
GCUGCGGCGUGCUUAACACAUGCAAGUCGACGGAAAGGCCCUUGCGUUUUGUCGGGGUGCGUCGAGUGGCGAACGGGUGAGUAACACGUGAGUAACCUGCCCUUGACUUUGGGAUAACUUCAGGAAACUGGGGCUAAUACCGGAUAGGAGCUCCUGCUGCAUGGUGGGGGUUGGAAAGUUUCGGCGGUUGGGGAUGGACUCGCGGCUUAUCAGCUUGUUGUGGGGUAGUGGCUUACCAAGGCUUUGACGGGUAGCCGGCCUGAGAGGUGACCGGCCACAUUGGGACUGAGAUACGGCCCAGACUCCUACGGGAGGCAGCAGUGGGGAAUAUUGCACAAUGGGCGGAAGCCUGAUGCAGCAACGCCGCGUGCGGGAUGACGGCCUUCGGGUUGUAAACCGCUUUCGCCUGUGACGAAGCGUGAGUGACGGUAAUGGGUAAAGAAGCACCGGCUAACUACGUG